rnacentral:tRNA from 1 species
GCCUGAGUGGUGGAAUGGUAUACACGCGACACUUAAAAUGUCGUGAGGAAACUCAUGUGGGUUCGAGUCCCGCCUCAGGCA